GACGAACGCUGGCGGCGUGCUUAACACAUGCAAGUCGCACGAAGUGGCGCACGGGUGUGUAUUACGCGGGUAACCUGCCCUCCUUUUUGGGAUACGCCUUGUAAACGCGGUCUAAUACCGCAUAUAGGUGUAUGGGCUCGCGGCCUAUCAGGUUGUUGGGGGGUUGAUGGCCUACCAAGGGGGUGACGGGUAGCUGGCCUGAGAGGGAGACGGGCAACAUGAGGAGUGAGAGACGGCUCAGAUUCGUACGGGAGGCAGCAGUGGGGGAUAUUGCAAAAGGGGCGAAAGGCUGAUGCGGGGACGCCGCGUGGGGGAUGAAGGCUUUCGGGUUGUAAACCUCUUUCGCUAUCGAACGGGUAGGUGGAGAAGAAGCGCCGGCUAACUACGUGCCAGCAGCCGCGGUAAUAC
rnacentral:rRNA from 1 species